AACGUGAAACAUCGUUUCAUUUCAUUUUUUUUUUUCUUUUCAAUAUUAUUAAUAGAUGGAUAUUCACAUUCCAGUAUGUGAUUCAACGCUUGAGUUUUAUACAAUAUGAAGCGAUAUAGAUGAAUAGCCGUUACUGAAAGGUUUACAUAACUUGGGGACAAUUCUCUUUAUGUGUCUAGUAUAAACGACCAUAAAUGAAUUUGCAGCGAUUUUUACCGAUUGUCUCCUUUGCAGUAAGCCGUUAGAAGUGAACCAACGAGUCAAGACAAUCUAGGAUAUAGAGUUGCUGCACGAGGAAUGGGUUAUCGCAAUAGAUCAAUUGUUGGUCUGGUAGUGUUGUUCUUUAUCUUAAUAAACGUUCAAGCUGACUGGUUUACAGAUCCGGAAUGGUCAUUUCAGGUUUAUUUAAAUGAUGAUUAUACAGUUCACUGUAACGAUAGUGUAGCAGCUGUAUCUAUAACAGAAAAUAUCAGCAUCACCUGGAUUAAACCAAAUAAGCUCCCGAUACCUACGGGUGACUCCAAGUAUCAACUAGAGGGGAAUCCCCUAGGUAUGUCCUUGAAGAUUAAAAAUGUUCAACUAACUGACAGUGGCAUGUAUUAUUGUAUGGUCAACGUGAACAGCCAGUUGUUAGUAAAAAUCAACCGCGGACUCAACUUAUAUGGGCACUUGGAAAGGACUCGUUUUAACCUGUAUCGGCUCAAUGUCAUCGUUGCUUUUGUGUCCGCCAUAGUUUUCCUGGCAUCGGCCAUAGGCCUCUGUUUAUUACAGCACUUCCGGUACAGAACGGAAGACGAGGAGCUUCGGAUGAAAGAAGUGGAAAAACAAGCAGUUUUACGUCACAAAGCCUUAAAGGCAGGUCGUUACCUUCCCACAGAGAACAAAAAUGGCCACGAAAAUCCCUCGUUUGAGAUAAUAACCGAUGUUUAGAUCAGCGACGUUCCACUUAGUACACACUUAGUAAACGCAGCAGAACAGUAUGACGUUAAACCCAAUAUCAUUUCAUUUCAUUUUGUUUUUAAAUACCACUCUAGAAAUUGACCUCGGAUAAAUAACCACCGGUGGAGCCAUAAACCUAGAUAUUUAAAGAGGCGCUGCGACUAAUAAACGUAUAUCACACUCACGCCGAAGGCCAAACUAACAUCACAAAUUGUUAAUUAGAUACUCAUUUUAAAGAAAAAAAAGUUGGUUAGAUAGGUGUUGAGAUUCGUGGAUCAAAAGGAUAUACAUGUAUCAGACGACAACAGAGAAAUAAAUAUGUUCGUGUGAAAUCAGUAAGCAAUGGGAACUUUAGAUGGCCAUAAUAAAUUAUAUGACCAUUAUAUUGGUAGGUUUUAUAAUAAAAUAUUAAAAAACUUCA